GACAGUCAUGGUUCUAAUGCUCUCACUCAAGUCCAGGCCAGAGGUGAGGAAGAAAACGAGGAAGGAUGAAGGAAUAUUUCAGAAAUGGAAUUGGUGAGAUUUGGAGCAUCAUAAGGAACAGUAAGUGGCCUGUGCUGGUGGAUGGGAGAGGAGGAGGAAGCAGCUGCCAUCCUGUAUUUUCUGAAAGCUUUGGCCUGGAGUCAGCCAUGAUGAGGGAAUUCACAGGCAGCAGAACUCCUGAGACACAUCCAUCGUCUGUCUAGAAAAAUGGUCCCCUGAGACUGAGAGUGUGAGAGCCCAGAACCAAUAUAUGUACAAUUACCUACCUUCCUGUUCCACUCAUGCAAACUAACAGAAUAUGAAGCAAGGAAUCAGUGACUCUCUCUAUUCAUAAGGAGUUUCCUAAUUCUGUGUAAAUAAAUUUCAAAUAUUUCAGUCA
ensembl:lncRNA novel transcript